GAGGGGGGUUUAGUUUAGGUGGGAACGAAGAGGAACAAGAGGCGGAGGUGGAGAAGGGGAUGGAGGAUGCGUUUGGAGAGUGUGGGGGAAAAUGUGGAGUGUGGUUGUGACGGUUUCAUUGCUUCUACGCUGCGUUUGUUCGGAAAAGAGAGGGAGUGCAGUGGGAAGAACGGAGGAGAGAAAUGGUUCCAACUACAUAGAUGUAAGCGUUCAAAGAAGGGGCAAUAAUCUCUACUUUACCGAAGGAUGGUUGGAUCUACUCACCUAUUAUGACCAACCUAAUGGAAUGUGGUUAAAGUUAGCUUUUUUGAGAGGAGCUCGAUUUUUUAUUGAAGAAUUGCAUCCACGGAAUUUUAUAGAGCAAGUUCAAGUUCCAUCCCCUCCAUGUUUUUUACGUCUGCCCGAAAAUCUUCAAAGUGGAGCACAUAAUGAGAUUGAAUUCUCUCAGUUUAAGUUCAGUUUUGCUAAAUUCGUGACAAAUUUGGAUAUGCAAUUUCAAUGAUUGAUAUUACCGGCUUUCUUUUGCAUGCAUGCAAUGCCAUUGAAAGGAAUAAGGGUUAGUUUAGUUUCUCGGUGUGGCAAUUUUAUACCUUGCCGCAUUGCAUGGAUAGCGGAUGAUGAAGCUUAUUUAACAAGAGGAUGGUUUAAAUUUGCAUGAAUUCUAAAUGUUGAUAUUUACGAUGUUAUUUCAGUUGGUUAUUGU